rnacentral:SRP_RNA from 1 species
GAGUGGACCAUCCGUAACAAACGCUUAUGAACCUCGUCAGGUCCGGAAGGAAGCAGCGAUAAAUAGGGCGGUUUGUGUCGGACUGAAUUCUACUCUCU